AGUGAACGCUGGCGGUAGGCCUAACACAUGCAAGUCGAACGGCAGCACAGGAGAGCUUGCUCUCUGGGUGGCGAGUGGCGGACGGGUGAGGAAUACAUCGGAAUCUACUCUGUCGUGGGGGAUAACGUAGGGAAACUUACGCUAAUACCGCAUACGACCUACGGGUGAAAGCAGGGGACCUUCGGGCCUUGCGCGAUUGAAUGAGCCGAUGUCGGAUUAGCUAGUUGGCGGGGUAAAGGCCCACCAAGGCGACGAUCCGUAGCUGGUCUGAGAUGAUGAUCGGCCACACUGGAACUGAGACACGGUCCAGACUCCUACGGGAGGCAGCAGUGGGGAAUAUUGGACAAUGGGCGCAAGCCUGAUCCAGCCAUACCGCGUGGGUGAAGAAGGCCUUCGGGUUGUAAAGCCCUUUUGUUGGGAAAGAAAUCCAGCUGCUAAUACCCGGUUGGGAUGACGGUACCCAAAGAAUAAGCACCGGCUAACUUCGUGCCAGCCGCCGCGGUAA
rnacentral:rRNA from 1 species